UGCAAGUCGAGCGGAAACGACUUAACUGAACCUUCGGGGGACGUUAAGGGCGUCGAGCGGCGGACGGGUGAGUAAUGCCUGGGAAUAUGCCUUAGUGUGGGGGAUAACUAUUGGAAACGAUAGCUAAUACCGCAUAAUGUCUUCGGACCAAAGAGGGGGACCUUCGGGCCUCUCGCGCUAAGAUUAGCCCAGGUGAGAUUAGCUAGUUGGUGAGGUAAGAGCUCACCAAGGCGACGAUCUCUAGCUGGUCUGAGAGUAUGAUCAGCCACACUGGAACUGAGACACGGUCCAGACUCCUACGGGAGGCAGCAGUGGGGAAUAUUGCACAAUGGGCGAAAGCCUGAUGCAGCCAUGCCGCGUGUAUGAAGAAGGCCUUCGGGUUGUAAAGUACUUUCAGUAGGGAGGAAGGUGUUGUAGUUAAUAGCUGCAGCAUUUGACGUUACCUACAGAAGAAGCACCGGCUAACUCCGUGCCAGCAGCCGCGGUAAUACGGAGGGUGCGAGCGUUAAUCGGAAUUACUGGGCGUAAAGCGCAUGCAGGUGGUUCAUUAAGUCAGAUGUGAAAGCCCGGGGCUCAACCUCGGAACCGCAUUUGAAACUGGUGAACUAGAGUGCUGUAGAGGGGGGUAGAGUUUCAGGUGUAGCGGAAAUGCGUAGAGAUCCUGAAAGGAAUACCAGUGGCGAAAGCCGGCCCUGGACAGACCACUGACCACUUCAGAUGCGAAAGGCGGUGGGGGAGCAAACAGGAUUAGAUACCCCUGGUUAGUCCACGCCCGUAAACGAUGUCUACCUUGGAAGGUUGUUCCCCUUGAAGG
rnacentral:rRNA from 1 species